CAGUCGCCGCGGUAAUACGAAGGGUGCAAGCGUUAAUCGGAAUUACUGGGCGUAAAGCGUGCGUAGGCGGUGAGUUAAGUCUGCUGUGAAAUCCCCGGGCUCAACCUGGGAAUGGCAGUGGAUACUGGCUCGCUAGAGUGUGUCAGAGGAUGGUGGAAUUCCCGGUGUAGCGGUGAAAUGCGUAGAGAUCGGGAGGAACAUCAGUGGCGAAGGCGGCCAUCUGGGACAACACUGACGCUGAGGCACGAAAGCGUGGGGAGCAAACAGGAUUAGAUACCCGGGUAGUCCCUGUCUCUUAUAC
rnacentral:rRNA from 1 species